rnacentral:rRNA from 1 species
UACGUAGGGUGCAAGCGUUAAUCGGAAUUACUGGGCGUAAAGCGUGCGCAGGCGGCUUUGCAAGACAGAUGUGAAAUCCCCGGGCUCAACCUGGGAACUGCAUUUGUGACUGCAAGGCUAGAGUACGGCAGAGGGGGAUGGAAUACCGCGUGUAGCAGUGAAAUGCGUAGAUAUGCGGAGGAACACCAAUGGCGAAGGCAAUCCCCUGGGCCUGUACUGACGCUCAUGCACGAAAGCGUGGGGAGCAAACAGG